rnacentral:rRNA from 1 species
GUGACCUCMAAUCAGGUAGGACUACCCGCUGAACUUAAGCAUAUCAAUAAGCGGAGGAAAAGAAACUAACAAGGAUUCCCCUAGUAACUGCGAGUGAAGCGGGAAAAGCUCAAAUUUAAAAUCUGUCAGUCUUUGGCUGUCCGAGUUGUAAUCUAGAGAAGUGUUAUCCGCGCUGGACCGUGUACAAGUCUCCUGGAAUGGAGCGUCAUAGAGGGUGAGAAUCCCGUCUUUGACACGGACUGCCAGGGCUUUUGUGAUGUGCUCUCAAAGAGUCGAGUUGUUUGGGAAUGCAGCUCAAAAUGGGUGGUAAAUUCCAUCUAAAGCUAAAUAUUGGCGAGAGACCGAUAGCGAACAAGUACCGUGAGGGAAAGAUGAAAAGAACUUUGGAAAGAGAGUUAAACAGUACGUGAAAUUGCUGAAAGGGAAACGCUUGAAGUCAGUCGCGUCAUUCAGGGAUCAACCUUGCUUUUGCUUGGUGUACUUUCUGGUUGACGGGUCAGCAUCAAUUUUGACCAUUGGAAAAAGAUUAAGGGAAUGUGGCAUACCAUACGUGAUGUGUUAUA